GCAUGUGAUGACUGACUUUUUUCCCCAACAGAUCGACUCUGUUGACUUUAUUUUCUAUUUAAGCCAAAGUUUCUGAAGCACAACC